CCUACGGGAGGCAGCAGUGGGGAAUAUUGGACAAUGGGCGAAAGCCUGAUCCAGCCAUGCCGCGUGUGUGAAGAAGGCCUUCGGGUUGUAAAGCACUUUCAGUGGGGAAGAAAGCCUUGGGGCUAAUACCCUCGAGGAAGGACAUCACCCACAGAAGAAGCACCGGCUAACUCCGUGCCAGCAGCCGCGGUAAUACGGAGGGUGCGAGCGUUAAUCGGAAUUACUGGGCGUAAAGCGCGCGUAGGCGGUCUGAUAAGCCGGUUGUGAAAGCCCCGGGCUCAACCUGGGAACGGCAUCCGGAACUGUCAGGCUAGAGUGCAGGAGAGGAAGGUAGAAUUCCCGGUGUAGCGGUGAAAUGCGUAGAGAUCGGGAGGAAUACCAGUAGCGAAGGCGGCCUUCUGGACUGACACUGACGCUGAGGUGCGAAAGCGUGGGUAGCAAACAGGAUUAGAUACCCCAUGUAGUC
rnacentral:rRNA from 1 species